UAGAAGAGCCUGUUAAGCUCAGGAGGGAUAGCGCCAUUGAUGAUCUUGAAUCUUAUGGAUUGUAUAAUCUGAUCCUCAUUAGCGCUAUCCAUCCUGAGUUUCAUCGGUUCUUCUU
rnacentral:pre_miRNA from 1 species